GACAGUAUCGGCCUCAGGAACAGGGUGGAGGGAGAAAACUGAUUUCUGAAAGUUGUCCUCUUACUUCUACACAUGCGGUGACAUAUGCAUACCUGUAAGAUCAAUCUAAAGAGACAAAUGCAGUGGGACACCUGUAACCCCUUGGGAAGCUGAGGCAAAGGGAUUACUAGAACCCAGGAUUAGGAGUUCAAGACCCAGCAGCU
rnacentral:rRNA from 1 species